AGCGAACGCUGGCGGCAGGCCUAACACAUGCAAGUCGAACGGACCCUUCGGGGUUAGUGGCGGACGGGUGAGUAACACGUGGGAACGUGCCCUUUGGUUCGGAACAACUCAGGGAAACUUGAGCUAAUACCGAAUGUGCCCUUUGGGGGAAAGAUUUAUCGCCAUUGGAGCGGCCCGCGUCUGAUUAGCUAGUUGGUGGGGUAAUGGCCUACCAAGGCGACGAUCAGUAGCUGGUCUGAGAGGAUGAUCAGCCACAUUGGGGCUGAGACACGGCCCAAACUCCUACGGGAGGCAGCAGUGGGGAAUCUUGCGCAAUGGGCGAAAGCCUGACGCAGCCAUGCCGCGUGAAUGAUGAAGGUCUUAGGAUUGUAAAAUUCUUUCACCGGGGACGAUAAUGACGGUACCCGGAGAAGAAGCCCCGGCUAACUUCGUGCCAGCCGCCGCGGUAA
rnacentral:rRNA from 1 species